rnacentral:rRNA from 1 species
GGGUUGUGAGGUUAAGCGACUAAGCGUACACGGUGGAUGCCCUGGCAGUCAGAGGCGAUGAAGGGCGUGCUAAUCUGCGAUAAGCGCCGGUAAGGUGAUAUGAACCGUUAUAACCGGCGAUACCCGAAUGGGGAAACCCAGUGUGACUCGUCACACUAUCAUUAACUGAAUCCAUAGGUUAAUGAGGCGAACCGGGGGAACUGAAACAUCUAAGUACCCCGAGGAAAAGAAAUCAACCGAGAUUCCCCCAGUAGCGGCGAGCGAACGGGGAGGAGCCCAGAGCCUGAAUCAGCAUGUGUGUUAGUGGAAGCGUCUGGAAAGGCGCGCGAUACAGGGUGACAGCCCCGUACACAAAAGCGCACAUGCUGUGAGCUCGAUGAGUAGGGCGGGACACGUGGUAUCCUGUCUGAAUAUGGGGGGACCAUCCUCCAAGGCUAAAUACUCCUGACUGACCGAUAGUGAACCAGUACCGUGAGGGAAAGGCGAAAAGAACCCCGGCGAGGGGAGUGAAAAAGAACCUGAAACCGUGUACGUACAAGCAGUGGGAGCACCCUUUGGGGUGUGACUGCGUACCUUUUGU